GUAGCGUAUAUUAAAGUUGUUGCAGUUAAAAAGCUCGUAGUUGGAUUUCUGGCGAACCGUUGCGGCCCGUGCUCGUUUCGGGCGUGUGUGCCGUGUCGUGUUUGUCAUCCUUCCAGAAAGCUGCGUCUACCAUUCACUUGGCCGGACGUACGCGAUCUGGAUCGAUUACUUUGAAAAAAUUAGAGUGUUUAAAGCAGGCUUAUGCUGUGAAUACAUUAGCAUGGAAUAAUAAUUUAGGACUUCGGUUCUAUUUUGUUGGUUUCUAGGACUGAAGUAAUGAUUGAUAGGGACAGUUGGGGGUGCUAGUAUUCCGCGGCCAGAGGUGAAAUUCUUGGAUUCGCGGAAGACUAACUACUG
rnacentral:rRNA from 1 species